UACGUAGGGGGCUAGCGUUGUCCGGAAUCAUUGGGCGUAAAGCGCGCGUAGGCGGCCCGGUAAGUCCGCUGUGAAAGUCAAAGGCUCAACCUUUGAAUGUCAGUCGGAUACUGCCGGGCUAGAGUCCGGAAGAGGCGAGUGGAACUCCUGGUGUAGCGGUGGAAUGCGCAGAUAUCAGGAAGAACACCGACGGCGAAGGCAGCUCGCUGGGACGGUACUGACGCUGAGGCGCGAAAGCGUGGGGAGCAAACAGG
rnacentral:rRNA from 1 species